ACUCCUACGGGAGGCAGCAGUGGGGAAUAUUGCGCAAUGGACGAAAGUCUGACGCAGCGACGCCGCGUGGGUGACGAAGGUUUUCGGAUCGUAAAACCCUGUCAGAGGGGACGAACUAACCUUGGAGAAUAAUACCUCCUUGGCUUGACGGUACCAACAGAGGAAGCACCGGCUAACUCCGUGCCAGCAGCCGCGGUAAUACGGGGGGUGCAAGCGUUGUUCGGAAUUAUUGGGCGUGAAGAGCGUGUAGGCGGCCGGAUAUGUCAGAUGUGAAAGCCCCGGGCUUAACCCCGGGAAGUGCAUUUGAAACUGUCCGGCUCGAGUAGGGGAGAGGGAAGUGGAAUUCCUGGUGUAGAGGUGAAAUUCGUAGAUAUCAGGAGGAACACCGGUGGCGAAGGCAACUUCCUGGCCCUAUACUGACGCUGAGACGCGAGAGCGUGGGUAGCAAACAGGAUUAGAUACCCUGGUAGUC
rnacentral:rRNA from 1 species